UUAAACACCAGAGUACUACGAACCAACGUUUAAAACUCAAAGGACUUGGCGGUUUUUUAGACCUACCUGGAGGAGCUUGUCAUCAAACCGAUAACCCACGAAAAACCUCACCAGCUUUUGAAAAAUCAACAUGUAUACCAUCGUCGUCAGUCUACCUCCCAAGAGGAGUACACUUAACGAAAAUCCUUCACUACGUCAGAUCGAGGUGCAGUUAAUAAGCUGGGGAUAGAUGAGCUACAAUAACUCUACACCCACAAAAAAUUUACCUAUGAAAAGUCUAAUGAAAACAAACUUGAAAUAGGAUUCAGCAGUAAUACCUAAAAGACAAUAGGUAUGAAA
rnacentral:rRNA from 1 species